GAAUUUUGGACAAUGGGGGAAACCCUGAUCCAGCCAUCCCGCGUGUAUGAUGAAGGCCUUCGGGUUGUAAAGUACUUUUGGCAGAGAAGAAAAGGUACCUACUAAUACGAGGUACUGCUGACGGUAUCUGCAGAAUAAGCCACGGCCCACUACGUGCCAGAAGCCGCGCUAAUACGUAGGGUGCAAGCGUUAAUCGGAAUUACUGGGCCUAAAGCGUGUGUAGGCGGUUCGGAAAGAAAGAUGUGAAAGCCCAGGGCUCAACCUUGGAACUGCAUUUUUAACUGCCGAGCUAGAGUAUGUCAGAGGGGGGUAGAAUUCCACGUGUAGCAGUGAAAUGCGUAGAUAUGUGGAGGAAUACCGAUGGCGAAGGCAGCCCCCUGGGAUAAUACUGACGCUCAGACACGAAAGCGUGGGGAGCAAACAG
rnacentral:rRNA from 1 species